rnacentral:sRNA from 1 species
CACAAGCUAUAAAGUUUUUGUGGAUCGAGCUUGGAAACUCAGUUGAAUUUCAGCAGUGAUCGCGAAUGCCUCAUAAGCAACAAAAACACAAAAUUCAUGCACCCACAAUUAAUUUUCGUUUUGUGAAGUGAGCAGAAACCGUGCUAAAAAAAAAAAGAAAAAAACUAAAGCUAACCGAGCCCAAUAAACGCCAGAAAAAUAGAAAAUAAAUACAAAACAAGUGUAGUGCGAAUAACUAAGAGCAAACCAUGUGAGCAAGCAGAAUUUAUGCUCGAGUGACAAGAAAAAAACACGAAUUUUACGUGGCAGUCAAAUUGCCGAGAAGAUGCCAAUUGAU